GUUAAAAGAAAAAGUUUGGUUACCCACUCAACAGAUCAAUUCUUCUCCUUGUGUAAUUCUUACUGUGAACCUCUCUUCUCCCUUUGAUUACAGGAAGAAUCAAAGCUCUGAUAUGUAUAUUAGCUCUUGAACUACCUUCUUUUGCUCUGGCAAGAUGUGCAAGAUUGCUAGUUUCCAGCAAGUUUUAAAGGAGCCUCAUCACAGGAUUCAAGAAGUGCAGACAUAAAGGCUGGGAGGAAUAGGAGGAAAUUAUCUGCCUAGCCUGCUUGUGUUGAGGCAGGAGGAGCUGGAGCUUUCUCCACUUCUGACAUUGGUAUGAAAGAACUCUGAAAAAAAGCUUGAAACUGUCCUGAGCGUGACCAAAUCUCAGCAAUGAAAAAAGCUGCAUGAAGGCAAAAAGGCAUGAGCUGUACAUGACAGCAGUUAGCUUCACUGCUUCCAGGAGCUCCCCAUGCACAGUUCUGAUACCAUCGAGAGCCACAGAUAUUCUACAUAACUACUCUGGAUGCCAAAGAAAAUACAAACAGGCAUUGAAGUCUUCGCUAGAGGAGAAUCAAAACGGAAUAUGGAAAACAUAGAAAACAUGCAGCCAGUGUUAUGUAAAUAAAAUCUACAGUCAGGGACACCUUUUGCAACCAAAGGCUCUGAAAGAAGUACUGUAAUACAGUAUACCUUUUCCAAGCAUCCAGAAGUGAAAAGAGAACUCCAAGUUUAGCAC
rnacentral:lncRNA from 1 species